rnacentral:misc_RNA from 1 species
GAUGAAGAACGUAGCGAAAUGCGAUAAGUAGUGUGAAUUGCAGAAUUCAGUGAAUCAUCGAAUCUUUGAACGCACAUUUCGCCCCUUGGUAUUCCAUGGGGCAUGCCUGUUCGAGCGUCAUUUGUACCUUCAAGCCUUGCUUGGUGUUGGGUGUUUGUCUCGCCUCUGCGCGCAGACUCGCCUCAAAACAAUUGGCAGCCGGCGUAUUGAUUUCGGAGCGCAGUACAUCUCGCGCUUUGCACUCAGAACGACGACGUCCAAAAGUACAUUUUUACACUCUUGACCUCGGAUCAGGUAGGGAUACCCGCUGAACUUAAGCAUAUCAAUAAGCGGAGGA